UACGUAGGUGGCAAGCGUUGUCCGGAAUUAUUGGGCGUAAAGCGCGCGCAGGCGGUUUCUUAAGUCUGAUGUGAAAGCCCCCGGCUCAACCGGGGAGGGUCAUUGGAAACUGGGAAACUUGAGUGCAGAAGAGGAAAGUGGAAUUCCAAGUGUAGCGGUGAAAUGCGUAGAGAUUUGGAGGAACACCAGUGGCGAAGGCGACUUUCUGGUCUGUAACUGACGCUGAGGCGCGAAAGCCAGGGGAGCGAACGGG
rnacentral:rRNA from 1 species